UAUUUUAAGUUAACAAAUUAAUUAUUUGCUCUACGUUGUUAAAUGGUAUUGAGCACUCUUUCUACACUGUAAAAUUUGAUCAUAUUUGGUCUCAUUAAUAUUAUCAAAGCACCUGUUAUACGGUUGUGCACUCUUGUUUAUGUGUAAUCACAUAUACUUGAAAUGAAUCAGAUCCGGUUUAAUUAUUCCUUGAUGAAUAUUGGAUUACCUUCUCGUGAUGAAUACAAGAAAAGGCUUAUUGACAAGAUCGAAAAUGUGGUAACCAGAAUGAGAUGGAAAGCGCAUUUUUACCUACAUGAACCAAACGCGAAAGAUCAAUACAAAUUUGGAUUAAAAUCAAAAACGGAACCACGUUUAUCAAUGAAAUGAAAGCUUUUGAAGAUGAUCUUGUAAACAUGAUGGAAAAUAUUCAGUUCAGAAACGUAUCAGACAAAUUUUUAAAUAAUCUGGAU